AUCUAGUUGACGAGUCCCAAAUGAAACGAAACGCGCGUCCUGGCU
rnacentral:hammerhead_ribozyme from 1 species